rnacentral:rRNA from 1 species
UACGUAGGUGGCGAGCGUUAUCCGGAUUUACUGGGCGUAAAGCGUGUGCAGGCGGGUGGUCAAGUGGUGUAUGAAAGCACUGCGCUCAACGCAGUGACCGUAGGCCAGACUGACUAUCUGGAGGGCGAGAGAGGGGCGUGGAAUUCCGGGUGUAGUGGUGAAAUGCGUAGAGAUCCGGAGGAACCCCAGAGGCGAAGGCGGCGCCCUGGCUCGCACCUGACGCUCAGACACGACAGCAUGGGGAGCGAACGGG